GACGAACGCUGGCGGCGCGCCUAACACAUGCAAGUCGAACGAGCGAGAGAGAGCUUGCUUUCUCGAGCGAGUGGCGAACGGGUGAGUAACGCGUGAGGAACCUGCCUCAAAGAGGGGGACAACAGUUGGAAACGACUGCUAAUACCGCAUAAGCCCACGGGUCGGCAUCGACCAGAGGGAAAAGGAGCAAUCCGCUUUGAGAUGGCCUCGCGUCCGAUUAGCUAGUUGGUGAGGUAACGGCCCACCAAGGCGACGAUCGGUAGCCGGACUGAGAGGUUGAACGGCCACAUUGGGACUGAGACACGGCCCAGACUCCUACGGGAGGCAGCAGUGGGGAAUAUUGCACAAUGGGGGAAACCCUGAUGCAGCGACGCCGCGUGGAGGAAGAAGGUCUUCGGAUUGUAAACUCCUGUUGUUGAGGAAGAUAAUGACGGUACUCAACAAGGAAGUGA
rnacentral:rRNA from 1 species